rnacentral:rRNA from 1 species
UAGGGAAUCUUCGGCAAUGGACGAAAGUCUGACCGAGCAACGCCGCGUGAGUGAAGAAGGUUUUCGGUUCGUAAAACUCUGUUGUUAGAGAAGAACAAGGACGUUAGUAACUGAACGUCCCCUGACGGUAUCUAACCAGAAAGCCACGGCUAACUACGUGCCAGCAGCCGCGGUAAUACGUAGGUGGCAAGCGUUGUCCGGAUUUAUCGGGCGUAAAGCGAGCGCAGGCGGUUUCUUAAGUCUGAUGUGAAAGCCCCCGGCUCAACCGGGGAGGGUCAUUGGAAACUGGGAGACUUGAGUGCAGAAGAGGGGAGUGGAAUUCCAUGUGUAGCGGUGAAAUGCGUAGAUAUAUGGAGGCACACCAGUGGCGAAGGCGGCUCUCUGGUCUGUAACUGACGCUGAGGCUCGAAAGCGUGGGGAGCAAACAGG